GGAGGGUGCGAGCGUUAAUCGGAAUUACUGGGCGUAAAGCGCACGCAGGCGGUUUGUUAAGCUAGAUGUGAAAGCCCCGGGCUCAACCUGGGACGGUCAUUUAGAACUGGCAGACUAGAGUCUUGGDGWGGGCAGUGGAAUUCCAGGUGUAGCGGUGAAAUGCGUAGAUAUCUGGAGGAACAUCAGUGGCGAAGGCGACUCCCUGGCCAAA
rnacentral:rRNA from 1 species